CGGAUUAUUGGGCGUAAAGAGCUCGUAGGCGGUUGCGUAAGUCGGAUGUGAAAACUCAGGGCUCAACCCGGAGACGCCAUCCGAUACUGCGCUGACUAGAGUCCGGUAGAGGGGCAUGGAAUUCCUGGUGUAGCGGUGAAAUGCGCAGAUAUCAGGAGGAACACCAGUAGCGAAGGCGGUGUUCUGGGCUGGAACUGACGCUGAGGAGCGAAAGCGUGGGUAGCGAACAGGAUUAGAUACCCUGGUAGUUCACGCCGUAAACGUUGGGCACUAGGUGUGGGGCCUCCUUAACCGGGCUCCGUGCCGUAGCUAACGCAUUAAGUGCCCCGCCUGGGGAGUACGGCCGCAAGGCUAAAACUCAAAGGAAUGACGGGGGUCCGCACAAGCGGCGGAGCAUGUUGCUUAAUUCGAGGCAACGCGAAGAACCUUACCUGGGUUUGACAUGCACGGAAAAGCCAUAGAGAUAUGGUGUCCUUCGGGUCCGUGCGCAGGUGGUGCAUGGCUGUCGUCAGCUCGUGUCGUGAGAUGUUGGGUUAAGUCCCGCAACGAGCGCAACCCUUGUCCUAUAUUGCCAGCACGUAAAGGUGGGGACUUGUAGGAGACUGCCGGGGUCAACUCGGAGGAAGGUGGGGACGACGUCAAGUCAUCAUGCCCCUUAUGCCCAGGGCUGCAAACAUGCUACAAUGGCCGGUACAAAGGGCUGCUAUACCGCGAGGUUGAGCGAAUCCCAUAAAGCCGGUCUCAGUUCGGAUUGGAGUCUGCAACUCGACUCCAUGAAGUCGGAGUCGCUAGUAAUCCCGGAUCAGCAAUGCCGGGGUGAAUACGUUCCCGGGCCUUGUACACACCGCCCGUCACACCACGAAAGUCGGCAACACCCGAAGUCAGUGGCCUAACCCCUCGGGGAAGGAGCUGCCGAAGGUGGGGCUGGCGAUUGGGGUGAAGUCGUAACAAGGUAGCC
rnacentral:rRNA from 1 species